AAUGAUGUGUAUUACUUUUGAAGUUAUGGCUAGAGACUUCAUUAUUGGUUAUUUUACCCUACAAAUUCCUUCAACCGAUUUAUUCAUGAAUUUUAAACAAAUUUGUAUUCUUUUUAAUUUGAAUAAUAAUAUUAAUACUUAUUGAUUAUGCUGUACAGCUGGCAACCUUGCAAGAAAAACCGAUAGUCGAAACGUCAAAAACAAAAAACAAAACAAGUGAGUUACAAAUUCGAUAGCUUUGCAACCUCGCUUCCAUAUCUUCAUUAUAAUUUUAUUGAAUAAUUGUGUUAUUUUAACCAUUUCGACGAUAUCGGUAAGUUUGCAGCCCGAUCUACUGCUGUCUGUGCCUCGGUCUGUUCUUCUUCGCUGUGAAGAGGCUACGAUUUAUGCUACUGGCCGAAGCGAUGUUUUUGUUUACCGGCUCUUUGAGAAGGCGAAAAAAGACCCAACACCAUUGAACAGUAAAGUGCUAAGCGCCUACCGUUGUAAAACAAAGCGGAGCUAGUUUCAAUGAGGCAAUUAGAGAGUGCAAACGGAUGGAAAUCUAUUCCGACACGGAUGAACUACGGAAGAAGAAGCAAAUCGCAACUACACUAGUCCUUUUCUCAGCACGAUGAAAAUGGGAAAGAAGAAGCUUCUGGUUUGGACGAGUCGUAUUCAAACAUUUUUCCGAAACGCUUUAUGCUGAGCCAUUGCGAAAAAUUUCAACGCCGGUAUCAUCACAGAAGAGAUGAGCAACUUUUCGAGGCAGCGAUUCGGCAAUGGAGGAAUAAAAUUUACGUCACUUUAUGUUAUCGUUGCACAAUGUUUAUGCGGAUCUAUGUAGACCAUGUAGACUCGUUAAAUGCAGCGAAAUACAAUUUAUCGAAAUUCAA